UUCUGUUGUGUCGAAUUUCGGAAUGUAAAAACAUCUUUGACGCAACCUGCGCUGACACACUUGCUCCGUCCCAUGUCAAGGAAACAGUCUUAAAAGCGGGAGUCGCUGUGCAGAUAGCUGAAACGACUAAAACGGCACAAAUAUAAUUAAUUGCGGGAAAUGCUGCCAGCAUUCUUUGGAUCAUUUCUCGGGCAGAUGAGUUGUAAAUAUUUAUUGUAAGAAAUCGAAAUAAAUUUGUUAAGUUUUUA